AUACCUUCUCGGCCUUUUGGCUAAGAUCAAGUGUAGUAUCUGUUCUUAUCAGCUUAAUCUCUGAUACGCGGCCCACUGGGUCGCUUCAAGAUUAAACUUAUUUUUGAGCCGUGAGGAGCCACCAUAGCUAGCUAUGGCCUUCUCGUAAGUGGCCUCGGUCUUGCACCUUUCAACCGAGUGCUGCUGGUACCUA
rnacentral:snRNA from 1 species